GGCUUCUAUUUUCCGGAUUGUGUUUGUUUCGUUAGAUUAUGUUCUUGUUGGUUAUUCUUUGAUUAAUAUAGCAUGUUAUUGAUUUGGGUUAGUUCAAUUGUGCUAGUUUUCCAUCUUAUUCCUGAAUUUCAUAGAAGUUUGGGAACUGGGCAAAAAUACUUGAGCUUUGUUUCAAUUCUAUUUUUAUUCCGUUUAGGAUUUGAGGUGAGUGACUUCCUUAAUUACUUGAUUUCAUUGGGGAAUUUUGGGUUUAAUGCAGUUUUGGAUUUUCCGUUUGGUUUUCUUACAAUUUUUGCAGGUAAUAUAUGAGAAAUUUAUGAAUGCUAUACGUGAAAGUUGGUGUCUAGGUAGUAAUUCGGUCUCAUCUGUUCUUUUUGUCUUCAAGUAAUCAAUUUGUAUGAAAUUUGAUUGGGAAGCAAGUGCUUCAAUCUCAUAGUUUUUGUUUUUGUUUUUCAUCACUAUCAAGCAGAGUAGGUAUUAUUUGAGAUUAGGAUUAAAACUCUACUGCACCCAACAAGCAAAGGAGCAUGCAGUGGUAAAUCCUUUUCAUUAUUUCUAGGGAUACUAGUGAAUUGCAGUGGUACUAGUAGUUGUAUCACUAAUCUUUUUUUUUUUUUCCUGUAUUGUUUUUGAUUUGGUGCAUAAGGGCAGCUUUGAGGUUUUCUUUCUUUGAUCUCUUUAAGGUCAGAAAAGCCUCAAUUUAUUCCUUUUGUAUUUGUUUGCUAACAUUUUCUUUGAGCACAUGCAUAUCUAUAGUGUCACUGGAUUUAGCUUUUACAUUUAACCAUUUAAAAGAGCUGCUGGUAUUUGCCUUCUUGCAUUUUCAGUUGAAGCUUGUAGGAGAAACAUCAAGUUCAAUGGUUCAGUUGCAUGUUCAAAGGUGGAAUCACAUCUUGGUGAUGUUCGUGUGCAUAUAUAUGUUAAUUCCUUGAUGGUCAUUGCUUUCUUUUUUCAAUUCUUUUGCCACUGGUUUUGUUAAUCUCACUUGCCUUGAUCAGAGUAGCUCUUUCAAGGUCUUUGUAUUCCUUUCUUAUAAAAAAACGUCAUUUCAAACCAUGAAGCAUUGUUGACUUGUUGAGUUUCUGAAGCAUGUUACCUUGCUAUUUUUAUUGAAGUUAAUGUUGAUAAAAUUCAAGUUGUCUUGCUUUGUUGUCUUUGAGUAAAAAUUAACCUGUUAGAUUUCUUGUUGUGCUUCUAGAAAUUUGAAAAUUUAAUAUCAAGCAUUUUUGAUAGCUACCAAAAUAAAAGCAUAUAUGAAGGAAAAUAUCAUUGGACAAGUGGUUCAACUAUUUGUGUUGUAGAUGCUUAAUCCUUUGCAGACCAUACAAUGGUCUGAAGUGUAAGCUUGGCACUUUGGUAGGUUGCUCCAUUGCAACCUGAAGGUCCCGGGUUUGAAGGGGGAGAUAGCCUCUCCCAGAUGGGGUCAACAGUCUCUAGGCUCUGCAAUGGCUGGAUUCCCAUGCAUAUUGAGCUGUCUGUAAAAUAGACGAGAAGGCAAUCAAUGAGGUAUUUCUGAAAGUCCUGGAUAAUUAGAUCAAAUGGUGCAAAUACCUGCGGAUCUGGCUUCACAAGCAAUUAAUCGGGACAUAAACUUUUUCUGGUGUCAUUGUACUUUCUGAUAUGGGGUGAGGCUGCAAAUGUCCACUUUUUUCCUGAAUGCAUUUGCUACAUGUUUGACCAUAUGGCGAAGGAGUUAGAUGCUAUUCCUGCUGCUGGCUGCACAAUAGAAAAUGAUUAUGUGUCCUUCCUCAAGCAGAUUGUUUAUCCUAUGUAUGAAACAUUGGCAGCGGAAGCUGCUAGAAACAAUAACGGGAAAGCUGCACAUUUCAGUGUGGCGGAAUUAUGACGACUUCAAUGAAUACUUUUGCUUUGUUUGCUUGUCAUUCAAUUAUGGAUGAACAAUGUGAUUCCUUCUUUUUGGUGUGUGAAGCGUCUGUGGAAUAUGCAGGUCACCUGCUUGUUUAGUUGAGCUAAGAGAUUGGAUGAAGAUUGUGGAAUCGUAAGUCCCUUGUAUUGAUCAUACGUAUUCGAUUGUUGCUGAAGGAAAGCAUCAUUUUUGUGCUUCUCUGCUGGUCCAAUAUUCAUGCACUGUGUGGCAUGUUUUGUAACAAAUAGUUUGUAUUUGUAUCAGCUUUUGAUGUCCCAGGUAGAUGGGCAUGCAUUUGAAUGCUUUUCUUCUUUUAAUGUUGGCUUGAAUGAUUGGGAAAUCCUUCCUUUUAACGUUUGAAUGCUUUUCUUCAAAUAGUAUGAGUUGGAUUACUCUUUAUUCAUA